GAAUGAAUCAAGAUUGUCAUACCAAGACUUCAGCAAUAAUAUAAUCCAAGUACAGACCGAGACUAGUAGACAAGAAUGUGUAACUAAUUUUUGAGGAGUUAUCAACCCAAGUGCGUGGCAAUGUCUAUAAAAGUUCAUCAGUAUGCAUUUUUCUAUACAUGUGGAGUGGUCCAGAACUCUUGAGGAGUUGAACUUGAAAACGUUGCACACUCCAUCGAAGAAACAUCUAUUCCUGCAUCUAGAGGCUGCACGCUAACAUGAAUUCGUCGGUUAGAAUAUGUAAGAGUAGAAACAUCUCCAAUCAUAAAAACGUAUUAUGUAAAAUGUUUAGUCGACACUUUAUUGAAAGUAUUUUAUAAUUUAGUGAUAUGUUAACAAAUUUUUUGAAUUUGAUAACCUACUUGCAAGCUGAGCGUGAAAAAAAAAUGAUCAAAUAGUUAUUUAACUCAUGGAUUGGGUAUAUUGAGAUAUGGAAAAAAAAGGUCUUAUAUAUAUAUAUAUUUAUAAGAUAAUAAAUGCUUUUUUAAAAUAAUUUGACUACUAAAUAUACUCUUUCAAGCAAAUAAUUAAUUAUUUAGAUAUUCAAAUUAAUAAAUGAGAAUUUAAUAUUAGUAUAAUAAUCUUAUAAAAACAAAUAUCUAGGUUAAAAAAUGUGGCAAAAACGUUUUGACACUAAAAUAGGGCAGGAGAAGGAAAGACAGUUGGGUGAGAGGUUGCUUCAUGGAUCUUAUCAGAGCAUCUCAUGCUGUUGGAUACGAUGGUUGUUUAAUUUGGACUUGGUAGAAUAUUAGUAUGUAAUAAUAAUUGAACAUGUAAUAUAUUUUGUUUUCAUAGACUAUGAUUAUAUGUUAAAAUUGGUAUGUUGUUAUUAUUUGAAGUUGUUAUUGUAUUGUUUUAAUAUGAUAAUCGGUGACAUAUAUCGGUUAUAAAUAUAGAUAAACAGUGAAUAUGAUUGGAGUGUGAUUUUUUCACGAAAUUAAUUAUAUAAUAAAUUUUGACUAUGGGGCUGUUUGAGUUAACUUAAGAGAAGCGACUUCUUUUUUAAACUAAAAACGUGGAGUAGAAGUGAGAAGUAAAUAGGUUAAUAAAGUGUUUGGAAAGAAGUAGAAGUUGUGAAAGAAAAGUUAGCAUUUUCAGCUUCUUAAAAGUACUUCUACUUAUUUACAUAAAUGGGUCAGGCCAACCUCUUAUAGUCAGAGCAUUUCCAACCAUAAAAAACAUUAGCUAAAAUGUGAGUUGGCAUGUCAAAAAUAAAAUACAUAGUCAAUUUCUCGAAAAGCUCACACUUCAAUCAUACCUAUUUGUUGUCUAUAAUUUUUGCCAAACUCUUAUAAAUGGUUAUAUUUGUCAAACCUGUCUGUAAGAAAUUUAUAAGAAAAUUGCACAUUAUUCAUUAUCGUAUUGAGCUAAUAUAUUCUAUUUUAACAAUAUAAAAUAUUAAUAACAUACUAUUUUUAAAUUAUAACCAACCAAUAUAGUCAAUAUCAUUGAAGCACAAUAUCUUACCGGUUCAGCAAAUUUUACACAAUGUUUUACAGAUUUAAUUUAGCCGAUGAUUAUAACCACACAUUAGAGUCCAGAGAUCCUCUUAGGUUUUAACCAAGACCAACCCUAACCAUGAAGAGCUCUCAGCAAAAGGUGAGUUGACAUAUUAAAAAUAAAAAAUAUAGAUAAUCUGUUUAAAAUAUCACAUUCCAACCAUACCCUCCCCUUGUCUAUGAGUAUAUCCAAACUCUUAUAAAUGACUAUAUUUGUCAAAUUUUUGUACGAAAUUUGUAAGAAUAUUAAACAUCAUUUGUUAUUAUAUAUAUAUUUUUUUGACUAAUAUGGCUUAAACCUUAGAGCAAGUCCAACAGUGCCCUAUAAUGGUGUGACAGCCCGAGAAUCCGGGGGUCUGGAUUCUGACGUCACCACACAAAAUCAUUCUAAAACACUUUUGAAAACCUGUAUUUUUGAAAAAGGUAAUAAAAUCAAAGGAUUUAAAACCUGAAAACUUUAGUAAAAGAUUUAAAAGAAAACACUUUAACCCCCUAAAAACAGGAUCGCAUCCAGGUUACAGUAUUGAAAUUAGAAUCAACCACUAUUAAUAAACAUUAUCUUACAAACUCAGAUCAUCUUCGAUAAGAAGAAUCACUGCCAGUCUACCUCAAUUAUGACUUACAACUGAAUCUCAAUAAUACAACUCUAUCUAGAACCAACCUUGUCAAUCUCCCUGAACAUUCCACUUGUCCUCUGGAUAUUCUAUGACUCUGACUCCUCGCUUAGCCUUAGCCAUACUCGCAAUCUCAAUUCAACUCUAAGCUUUUCUGAAAUGGUUAAAAAAAGAAUAGCAAGGGUGAGCAACAAUGCUCAGCAAGUGUAUAUAAGCAAUAAUAGUCCUGAAUAUCUUAUCAGGGUUCACAAGAUCAAGGUAUGUAAUUGAAAACUUCAUAAUUCUUAUCAGCAAUUGAAAUCAGAAUUUCAAACUUACAGAAGAAUUGUCGAAUUGGAUUCAUCACAUUUUUACUUAAAAACCAAAGGUUAGGCUGCUGAUCAGUCACGCACUAACCCCGAACAUGGCACACAGCCCUGUUCUCUAUACUGGAUCCAAGGCACACCUUGGCCUAUAAUUGACCACGAAUCUGGUCUGACCACGAAUCUGGUCCACAUAUUUUAUAAAAACUAAUCCAAUUCUAACAAUUUAAAUCAACAGACAAUUGAAUCAACAGAACAGAAUCAUAAUCAUUAUCAGCAACAGAAAUAUUUCAAAUCAACUUUUGGGAAUCAACAUUUCAUAAACCACAGUCUGUCUUUUGAUAAAUCAUAGUUCAGGAAAUUCCUAACUAUUCAGUAUCCUCCAUUAUCGGCUAAGCAACUGAAUUUAGCCUGCUAAACCAGCAUGACAAUGGCGGGUUGAAUAAUCAAGAAGAUCCCAUUUCAUUCUAGGCUCUAACUAUCACUGAGCAACACAUGCUUCAAUGACGGUCUGAACUUCGAAUUAAUUUGUAGAACUGGUAUUUUUAAAAUCUUGAGGAUUGGAAAGAAUGGAUCAAAAUAGAAAGUUGAGAGUAAAUAGGUGUUUGGCUUUUCAAAACUUGGAAGAAGAAACAAUCAUGGGUUUCAUUCUCAGAAGUAAGUGUUUGUUUGGGAAGGGUUUCAGUAUAAACAAUAUCAUAAUCUUGACAGAAUAAUCAGAACAUGCAAUAUAUAUAUGAGGAAGGAUUUAGGAAAACUUGCCUUAAAUCCGAUUCCAGUCUCAUAUCUCAAUCUCAUCUUUCCACUUUCACACUCUAUGCAUAUCAUAGUCUCUAGACCAUCUUUGGCUAUACUCUAUUCGCCACACUGCUUCGUUUACUCGAUUCGUUCCUUAUUCGCUUUGUAACAUCGUUUGACCUUCUGAACGUCUUCGAUCGUAUCCGUCUCGUCCAAACCCUUUACGAGAAUAAGAUACUACCAUUAUCACUAAAUAAUCUAUUGAUUCUUAUCUCUACUUAUCAACUCGGUAGCAUAACCUAUCGCAUACACAUAUCACGUAUAUCGAUACCCACUUAUAUAACUCUUUAAACUCAUCAAAUAUCACUUAACACAUAAUCAUGCUUUGACUCUACCAUAUAGUCUAAUCAUAUUUCACAUAACAUAUUAUCAAUUAAAUAUCAUAUAAAUCUUAUCGAAAAUCCGACAUCGUCUCGUCUAUUUAUUAGACUAUCCACCUGUUAUCCUAUCUCAAUCAACAAUCAACCAACCAAAUCCAAUCACUAUAAUCCAUAUGCUUUUAUCCGACAUCUAUCAAGACACGACAUUAUGUCAUUUAAUCAUUUAUCACAUGUAUGUAAUACUAGAACAACCAGAUAGUCCAUGCAAUCAUCAAUUAAUAGCAAUUAGAUCACAUAUAAUCCUAUUCUAUACAUUUAACAACAAUUAUUCACAUUUUAUACUCCACCAUAUUAUUAUGUCACAUUAAAAUAGACUUUAUAAGCUUUAACCUCUCUUUCGUUUCACUCGAUUCUGAAUUACCGAUCACCAGUUAUGCUGAAAACCGUUUCCGACUCCACUUUCGACACAUGUAAUACAUCCCACCGAUAACAGACAACAUAUACACAUUAGGUCUCCCCUCCCAAUUGAUGCCAAAUCAAGUUUUAGGUUCAAAAUGAUUUUUCGGGAAUUUUCUGGAAUUUCUAGACAUUUUUCGGAAUUAAAACAGGUAAAAGAAUCCAUUUUUGAAUAAAUAAUCAAGUCCGAUUGCUCAAGAUCGGGUCCAAAAUCAUUUGAAAUCAAUUAACGAGCCUCAAACAUAUUUUAGAAAAAUAAUUCAAAGCUCGAAACUAUUUUUCAGAAUUUUUAAAUCAAAAGGAACAAUUAAAUCUAAUUAAUUAAUCAAUUAAAAUCAAUUAAUAAUUAACUAAAUUAAUUAAUCAAUUAAUAUUUAAAUUAAUUGACCAAUUAAAAUAAUUAAUUACUAAUUAAAAUUAAUUAAGAAACUAAUUUAGAUUUAUUUUUGAAUAAAGAAAUAAUUAAAAACUAUUUUUGGAAUUUAAAAUAAUUAAAUAAAACAAUUUUAGAAAAUUAAAUCAAAAGGUUUAUUUUGUAAACUUUUGAAAGUUUUGGCCAGGGUUUAAAGUGCAACUUUUCAAAGUUACAGGGGGUAAUUCAUAAGUUUCAAAACCUGAGUACAAACACUUCACCAUCUUCAAAACUUCGGUGACCAAACAGCAAUAAGCCGCCGGCCACCACACUAACUCGCCGGAAAUUCAUUUCCCGGCAUCCUCCACUCGCCAUACACUCCAGAUCAGUAGUACACACACCCAACAACUCAUUCCCAUAAUCAAACUUAGUAAUUAACACGUAGUUUGGCCGGAUUUUGGCCGGAAAGUCCAAGAACACCGCCGGUGUUCAUAAACUCCGGCGAGUUCAACCGUGAAUCCCACACAAAAUCUGAUUAUAUGAACAUAUUCCUCUUGAAACACUCUUCCUAAUGGUAUAAACCAAAACAACGCAGAAUUCCUAGAUUAAAAACGCCUCUUUUUGAAUUAAGAACAUUCAUAACCUCCAAGAACAUUCAAGAACACAACUUCAAGAAUCAAACCAACUUUUCUCUAUGUUAUCGAAGUCAAAAUUCAACAUAUAAUAUACCAAAACGACGAGAAAAACACGCUCUACAUCAUAGAAUCAUCAAAUCACAUAAACGGAAUCGUUUGCAAAAAUUCAUAAUUUAAAAUCAUUUAAUUCGAAUUUUGUAAAAAUCAUGUAAAAUCACCUGAUGAAUCUGCAACGUUAUAGUUGAUUAUACUAUAUUCUACGCGUCGAGAGCUUCGUUUUGACUAUUCAUACGCCUCCAUCGGAUUCCAAUAACACCUCCAAAUCCUCAUUUGAUUACGAAGAACACGAAGAACACACUUCGGUUUCUCUCGGUAUUCGUGCAGAGAAACUGGUGAAAUGAUUUUACGGGUGAAAAUCAGCUAUAGAAAAGUCUAUUUAUAUUUACAAAUAAUUGGUACCCCUUUGGAUCGUUUAUGACAUGAAAAUACGUAUUUAAUAGCUUUAUAUUAAUAAAGCGGGGUCCAAUCGGUACCGGUUUUCG
rnacentral:lncRNA from 1 species